UUUCCAAAAUGGCUGCUCCAGAGACUCCUUUCUUGGCAAGUUUUGAGGAACCCCUAGAUAUUGAACCCGGUCCUGGCAGAAGACUUACAUCUGGAAAAGAAUCAGCUGCAAAUUCUGGAUCUGUACUUGGAAGAGCUGUUUGUUUCAUCCCCCGAGGAUUGCCCCUCUGCCAAGUCUACAGCAAAGACAGAGAAGACAGAAGCCGUCCCUGAGCUCGAAAUGUGUCGGAGCAGGGAGAAGGAAGGCUGUGGAGUUCAGUGUGUUUGCAUGCAGCCAUAACAAGGCCCCUCGACCUCUGCUGCUGUACAUCCACAACUUGAUCCCUGGCCCAACAUAUCUUCAUGGACCGUUCCAAGAAGAAGCAUUUCUGUGAUGAAGUUAUGGUCGAAGUUCUUGAUAGGGCUCACAACCAGGUAAUGGAAUCCGACCUUAACAACAACUCCCAUCUCAACUAAUUUUUUUUCCUCUUCCCUGCAAAUAAGGACCAGUAUUACCAUCCCUAAUACCAUUUAAAAGACUGACACCUGGGCAGUGGGGAUUGUUCCUAUGAAACCUCCCUACAGUUAAAGGGAAAUAGAAUAAGGGAAAUUGUGAAAAUGAAAGCCUUACUUACUACUUUACACUUUCAAAUAUUUUAGCUGUUUUUAAUUUUUCUGUAUCUUUAAUGAAAGAUUUUUUUAAAAAUUAAUGGUGGUUGUUGCCCUGGGACUAAGCAGGCAGAGGUCUCUGUACUUGAAACCCCAACCCUUUGUUUAACUGUUUAAUAUUCCACACUGACAGGGUCAUGUUAAAAUUGUUGAUUGCCUGUGCCCAUUUAGUCCAUCAAAAUUAACACAAUGUACUCAUGUGUAUGAAUUGCCUCCUGUAACAGGGUUCCCCUCUGCUCCUGUCUUCAAUUUAUCCAUAAAAGUUUUCUGCAGGCUGAAACUUCUCAAUUAGCUUUUUUGUAUAAAGAAGUCUGCCAGCUAAAGAUUCUCAUCAGACUGGAAUGCCAUGUCACAAUACCUACGGGUCACUGAUCUGCAAACCAAGAAGCAUUGUCUGUGGGUAAACAUCAUGCAAUUUCUAAAUUACUAUUCAUGCUGCAGUAAACCCUUUCAUGACAGAUUAAUUACUUUAAUCAAGCCAUUGUGGAGAAUUGAAUAAAUACCUAGUGUGUGCCAAAACUAUGAUUGAUAUAGUCUGUGUACUAGAAUAAAUAUUUCAUUGAUAUAUAUUAUGCUUCUAGCAAUAUAUAUGUAAUUUAUUUGGGAUAGGGAGACUGAGCUGGAUAAAAUAGGGACUAAGUAAGAACUUCUGAAGUUUGAAGUAAUUAGCCUUUUGUUUGCUAUUUACUUUGGCAGUUCCUGAGUUUCCUGGUUUUGGAUAGGCUGGAAAUAUCAAUGGGAAUGCAGUAUAAUAUAUAUGACCCAGCUGACGCUUGUUAACCCUCAUGUGAUAAUUUUUUCCCAGUGUUUCCAUUCCAGUUAUAGGCCCGAUCCAAAGCCAU